ensembl:lncRNA
CACCUGGCUCAGGUGAGUCCUCACCUGCUCAGGAACCUCCUGCCCUUUUCUUCUGAUCUUUGACCAGGUAUGUACGGUCAGGACUAGGUUUCACCCAGGAUGGCUGGGGCCCCAGUCCUCCAGGGCAUAAGUAAAGAGGGCCUCUCUAGGGAAACAGUUCUGGUCACCUUUCCACAGGGCCUCAGGCCUGCCGCCUCAGCUGCCCGCCUUCUUACAGGGCUGACUGGCCAGGGACGGGAGAUGCAGGCAGGCAGAGCCAGGGGCCGGCAGCUCCCAGUGGACACCCUGGCCAGAAGGUCUGGAGCGUGUGGCCUGAGCCACCAGGAGAACACCCAGAUGCCCCCUGCAAGCCUCUCAGGAGUAAGAGCUGGUGUUGGAGGGCCGAGGACAGAUGUGGACACAGGGAGGAGAAGUGGAAAACACGAGAAGGCAGAGGAAAAGGCAGCACGGACACAGAUUGUUGCUUACGAUAAGCAGGCAGGAUCUCCAUGGUUGAAAGACUGAAAAAUGUUU